rnacentral:rRNA from 1 species
UCCCAGACUCCUACGGGAGGCAGCAGUAGGGAAUCUUCCACAAUGGGCGCAAGCCUGAUGGAGCAACACCGCGUGAGUGAAGAAGGGUUUCGGCUCGUAAAGCUCUGUUGUUGGAGAAGAACGUGCGUGAGAGUAACUGUUCACGCAGUGACGGGAUCCAACCAGAAAGUCACGGCUAACUACGUGCCAGCAGCCGCGGGAAUACGGAGGAUGCGAGCGUUAUCCGGAUUUAUUGGGUUUAAAGGGGGCGGAGGCGGACUGUUAAGCCAGGGGUAAAAGCCGGGGCCUCACCCCCGGCGAGCCGUUGAAACUGGCUGUCUUGAGAUGUCGAGAGGUAUGCGGAAUGCGCAGUGUAGCGGUGAAAUGCUUAGAUAUUGCGCAGAACUCCGAUUGCGAAGGCAGCAUACCGGCGGCGAUCUGACGCUGAGGCACGAAAGCGUGGGUAUCGAACAGGAUUAGAUACCCUAGUA